rnacentral:rRNA from 1 species
AUUGAACGCUGGCGGCAGGCCUAACACAUGCAAAUCGGGCGGUAGCACAGAGAGCUUGCUCUCGGGUGACGAGCGGCGGACGGGUGAGUAAUGUCUGGGAAACUGCCUGAUGGAGGGGGAUAACUACUGGAAACGGUAGCUAAUACCGCAUAACGUCGCAAGACCAAAGAGGGGGACCUUCGGGCCUCUUGCCAUCAGGUGUGCCCAGAUGGGAUUAGCUAGUAGGUGGGGUAACGGCUCACCUAGGCGACGAUCCCUAGCUGGUCUGAGAGGAUGACCAGCCACACUGGAACUGAGACAGGGUCCAGACUCCUACGGGAGGAAGCAGUGGGGAAUAUUGCGCAAUGGGCGCAAGCCUGAUGCAGCCAUGCCGCGUGUAUGAAGAAGGCCUUCGGGUUGUAAAGUACUUUCAGCGGGGAGGAAGGCGAUAAGGUUAAUAACCUUGUCGAUUGACGUUACCCGCAGAAGAAGCACCGGCUAACUCCGUGCCAGCCGCCGCCGUAA